rnacentral:rRNA from 1 species
UGCGAACGCUGGCGGCAGGCCUAACACAUGCAAGUCGAACGGUCCUUCGGGACAGUGGCGGACGGGUGAGUAACGCGUGGGAACGUGCCCUUAGGUUCGGAACAACUCAGGGAAACUUGAGCUAAUACCGAAUGUGCCCUACGGGGGAAAGAUUUAUCGCCUUUGGAGCGGCCCGCGUCUGAUUAGCUAGUUGGUGAGGUAAAGGCUCACCAAGGCUACGAUCAGUAGCUGGUCUGAGAGGAUGAUCAGCCACACUGGGACUGAGACACGGCCCAGACUCCUACGGGAGGCAGCAGUGGGGAAUCUUGCGCAAUGGGCGAAAGCCUGACGCAGCCAUGCCGCGUGAAUGAUGAAGGUCUUAGGAUUGUAAAAUUCUUUCACCGGGGACGAUAAUGACGGUACCCGGAGAAGAAGCCCCGGCUAACUUCGUGCCAGCAGCCGCGGUAAUACGAAGGGGGCUAGCGUUGCUCGGAAUUACUGGGCGUAAAGGGCGCGUAGGCGGACAGUUU